UUCAGUGAACUGGGUUAUCUAUUGGUGGUUCUUCUCAUGUGAAAUCAGCAACCCGCCGCAUGUAAGACAUUGUGUGACUAGCUUCAGGACCAUUCAUUCCCCCUACACCCCUAGCACAACUUGUUCUUUUGCGCCUCUGGUUCCUAUAUCAGGGCCAUACCUUGGUUACUCCUUUAAC